rnacentral:misc_RNA from 1 species
UUUUUUUGAAUGUGAAAUGAAAAUGCGGGGGAAUCCUAUUAUACAUUUGAAGAACGAGCCAUACAAUACUUACAGACUGACAUUCUUAAAUGGACAAUAAAUGUUUUGUUGGCACAAACAAAUAUUACAACAUGGAUUUGUAAAUCUGGUUUCUAUCCAUGCCUGAUACGUAUCCAUAAUUCAUCUCUGCAACUCAUGUCUUGUGCAUAAAUUACAGCACUUGUGGUACAACAAUCUCAUCCCCAACAGCAUCCGUGCCAGUAACCUCUCUAACAAGAUCAAGAUUUCUGGCCGAAGGCAAACCAGCAAUCACGUCUUCUUCAAUGCCACACUCAUUUGUUCCUCUCAGUAUCUUGAAGUAACCAUCAUCACCCCAGCCUCUAUUCCACUGGUUU